rnacentral:rRNA from 1 species
GAUGGGCGGCUACCAUGCAAGUCGAGCGAACCUUCGGGUUAGCGGCGGACGGGUGAGUAACGCGUGGGAACGUACCCUCUUCUGCGGGAUAGCCACUGGAAACGGUGAGUAAUACCGCAUACGCCCUUCGGGGGAAAGAUUUAUCGGAGGAGGAUCGGCCCGCGUUGGAUUAGGUAGUUGGUGGGGUAAUGGCCUACCAAGCCUACGAUCCAUAGCUGGUUUUAGAGGAUGAUCAGCCACACUGGGACUGAGACACGGCCCAGACUCCUACGGGAGGCAGCAGUGGGGAAUCUUAGACAAUGGGCGCAAGCCUGAUCUAGCCAUGCCGCGUGAGUGACGAAGGCCUUAGGGUCGUAAAGCUCUUUCGCCAGAGAUGAUAAUGACAGUAUCUGGUAAAGAAACCCCGGCUAACUCCGUGCCAGCAGCCGCGGUAAUACGGAGGGGGUUAGCGUUGUUCGGAAUUACUGGGCGUAAAGCGCACGUAGGCGGAUUGGAAAGUUGGGGGUGAAAUCCCAGGGCUCAACCCUGGAACUGCCUCCAAAACUCCCAGUCUGGAGUUCGAGAGAGGUGAGUGGAAUUCCGAGUGUAGAGGUGAAAUUCGUAGAUAUUCGGAGGAACACCAGUGGCGAAGGCGGCUCACUGGCUCGAUACUGACGCUGA